rnacentral:rRNA from 1 species
CGGUGACACGGAGCUUGCUCUGUGGGAUCAGUGGCGAACGGGUGAAAGCCUAGGGCACCUGCCCCUGAUCUGGGAAAGCGCUGGUAACGGCGUCAAAUACUGAAUAUGUGACGUGACCGGAUGGUGUGGCUUUGGAAAGAUGUUUCGAGUGAGGAUGAUUUCGCGGCCUAUGAAUUUG